GGCCCGCACAAGCAGCGGAGCGUGUGGUUUAAUUCGAUGCUACACGAAGAACGUUACCUGGGUUUGACAUGUAGGUAGUAGUGAAGCGAAAGCGGAACGACCCUUCGGGGAGCCUACACAGGUGCUGCAUGGCUGUCGUCAGCUCGUGCCGUGAGGUGUCGGGUUAAGUCCCGUAACGAGCGCAACGCCUGUCAUGAGUUACAAGUGUCUAAGGAGACUGCCGGCGACAAGCCGGAGGAAGGUGGGGAUGACGUCAAGUCAGCAUGGCCUUUAUGUCCAGGGCUACACACACGCUACAAUGGCCGGUACAAUGGGUUGCCAAGCCGUGAGGCGGAGCUAAUCCCCCAAAGCCGGUCUCAGUUCGGAUUGUGGGCUGCAACUCGCCCACAUGAAGUUGGAGUUGCUAGUAACCGCAGGUCAGCUAUACUGCGGUGAUACGUUCCCGGGCCUGUACACACCGCCCGUCACGUCAUGGAAGUCAGUACACCUGAAGCCGGUGGGUANCCCGCAAGGGGGCAACCGUCGAAGGUGG
rnacentral:rRNA from 1 species